GGGCCCGUGGCGCAGCCUGGAUAGCGCGGCAGCCUUCUAAGCUGAAGGUCGUGGGUUCAAAUCCCACCGGGCCCG
rnacentral:tRNA from 1 species